CAUUAAUGAUUGUAGAUGAGAAAAGAUAAACCUGAAUCAUACACUAAUACGAAGAUAUACUAACAUAAAAAUUGAACAUACUAUGUUAAGGUUUCAUUUUCUAGACAAUUGUCUUUGUUAUUUCAACAUUUCCAUAGAAAAAAAAUAUAUAGAUUACGAUAUUCAGGACACUUGCAGUAGUAGGGUAGUGCAUUUAAUAAUUUUCUUAAAAAGAAGAAUUCAUAUUGCUUGUUGAUCGUAAACCCCUUUCAUCGUGUUGAGAAUGGUCGAUGCUUCAUUGGCUGUAGGGAAAUAUGAGACGUUGAUAAGGCUAAUAAAUUUUCCCAGUAUAUAAACUUGCUAAUUAACAUUCAAAAUAAAUUCAGAUUAGGGGCAUGUAAGAGAUGUACCAACUGGGAAUAGAUAUUUAGGAAAUUUUUGGGAGUGUCGAGGUGGGUUAGCGAAUUACUCAACUGGCCAUCGAGACGUUGAAGAGGACACAUGAGGCCAGACAGAUUGAUGAGUGUCCUAUACCAGAAGGGACAUCAAGGAGGAUGGGCCCACCAAGAUGGCAAGAAGGUAGCAUGCAUCUGGUUGAUGAGCCUCUAGCUUUAGCUCCAGUUCCAAAUCCACUUCCAACACACAAAUUUUUCGGUGCACCUUGGUUUUCCGCUCAGCCGAGUGAUCAGGAUGCUUACGCCCUAAUGCCUGAUGACAUAAAUUGGGAAGCUCUCGACAAAGCCUUAGAGGACCAGUUCCACGAGAUUUACAGGAAAGUAGAUGUCUGAGGAUUAUCAUCCACCUAACAUCCUGCUCGUGAGAUGGUUUUACACCUACACCAGUAUUCGUCGACACAUGUUAAUUAAUUUUAGUGUCCGAAUUAUCACCACGAUGGUUUGCAACUAAUAGCUUCUGCAUGACGCCCUCUCGAUUUCGAACCCAACCAGUGGUAUCAAAGUUUAUGGCUCAGUCAUGGGUUGAAGAAAUGGUGAAGGCGAUUUUAGUUAUCGAUGCAAGCACUUUGAUGAUAAAGACUAUUUUGUUUAGCUACAUGUGAAGAAGAAGUUUUAAACAUAUUUCAACAUUCAUGUUGCUGCAUCUUUAAAAAAUAAACAUAAAAUAUUUAUUUUUAACCCACUUUUAAUCAUAAUAUUUUAAAUCUUAUUUUUAACCAUGUCAAGCAGCAGUGAUGAAGAUUAUGUAAAGAACGAAGAUCAUGCACGUGAAGAAGGUGGAUCAAAUUAUGUCAAGAAAAUCAAGCCAAAAAAAGGGAGAUUUGUUAGGGUUUUUACCCUGAUUUUCUUGCCAAGUUUAAGCUUUACUUUUCUUGAAAGAAAAAUAAAAGAAAUACCAUAAUUACUUUUAUUUUAAUUUUUCUGAAAUAAAAAUAUAAAAAAGUUUCAUAUUUGGCAAACCUCUUUUUUGGAGAAAUGGUUUUGGAACUCUAUAACUAGAAGACACACUUCUCAUACCAUAACACAAUAGUAUCCUCAAUGUAGUCCUUUAUGAGUCUUGUUUAGAGAGAGAUUUUCUCCUAAUAGUCUUUUUUUAUACUUUUGUAUAUUAAUUUUCAAUAUGUAGGUUGCUUGACCAAAUCAUAUCAAUAAUAGAUUUUUAGUAUGUUUU